rnacentral:rRNA from 1 species
CCUACGGGCGGCAGCAGUGGGGAAUAUUGCGCAAUGGGCGAAAGCCUGACGCAGCGACGCCGCGUGAGGGAUGAAGGUUUUCGGAUCGUACACCUCUGUCAGAAGGGAAGAAGUUGCAUGGGACCAAUCACAUGUGCAUUGACGGUACCUUCAAGGGAAGCACCGGCUAACUACGUGCCAGCAGCCGCGGUAAUACGGAGGGUGCGAGCGUUAAUCGGAAUUACUGGGCGGAAAGCGCACGUAGGCUGUAUGUCAAGUUAAGGGUGAAAUCCCACGGCUAAACCGUGGAACUGCAUUUGAGACUGGCAAACUAGAGUGUGUCAGAGGGCGGCGGAAUUCCUGGUGUAGGAGUGAAAUCCGUAGAUAUCAGGAGGAACAUCAGUGGCGAAGGCGGCCGCCUGGCACAAAACUGACGCUGAGGUGCGAAAGCGUGGGUAGCAAACAGGAUUAGAUACCCCAGUAGUC